rnacentral:ncRNA from 1 species
UACCUGGUUGAUCCUGCCAGUAGUCAUAUGCUUCAAAGUCUUUUAAGCCGGGGGAGUAUAAGUCGCAAGGCUGAAAGACUGUGAAAUUGACGAAAGGGCACCAAAGGAGUGGAUAGCCUGCGGCUUGGUACCUACAACACGGGGAAACUUACAGGUCUAGAGCUAGUAAGGAUGACAACUGAAGCUCUUUCGAGAUUCAUUGGGUAGUGGUGCAGGCCGCGGUCUUAGUUGGUAGCGAUUUUUGGUUGUUCCGUUAACGGAACGAGCCCAGUUGACUUAUGGGAGGCCCCUCCGCCCACUUUCUUGAGGGACUACGGCCUUCUGCCGCGA